AUACUUACCUGGCAGGGGAGACACCAUGAUCACAAAGGUGGUUUUCCCAGGGCGAGGCUUAUCCUUUGCACUCCAGAUACACUGAUCCUGAGAUUUCCUUAAAUGUGGGAAACUCGACUGCAUAAAUUGUGGUAGUGGGGGACUACGUUAGGGCUUUCUCCUA
rfam:Tupaia chinensis contig183410, whole genome shotgun sequence.